rnacentral:tRNA from 1 species
CAUACUAGCCAAAUGGAAAAGGUGCUUGACUUGAGAUCAGGUUACUACAGGUUCGAUUCCUGUGUAUGACA